UACGGGGGGGUAAGCGUUGUUCGGAAUUACUGGGCGUAAAGGGCGCGUAGGCGGCCUGCUAAGUCGAACGUGAAAUCCCCGGGCUCAACCCGGGAACUGCGUCCGAUACUGGCAGGCUUGAAUCCGGGAGAGGGAUGUGGAAUUCCAGGUGUAGCGGUGAAAUGCGUAGAUAUCUGGAGGAACACCGGUGGCGAAGGCGGCAUCCUGGACCGGUAUUGACGCUGAUGCGCGAAAGCCAGGGGAGCAAACGGG
rnacentral:rRNA from 1 species